GAAAAGAAUAAACAGCUGUAAACACUACUUUAUUAAGCACGAGUGUGUAAUUCUCUGAAAUAUUUCUUUGUGGGAAAGAGAUUCUGCCCCGCACGGCCCAAUUCAAAGCUUCCGCUAGUGCUAAGCCCAAUGUUUCCGAAUUUCCCGCUGACCGAGACUCCAGGUCCACAGAUCGCCCCUCGCAGCCGAUCCCCGACCCCGGCCCUGGCGGAGGCGGGAGACGGCUGCGGACCUGCAGCCCCGGUAGACAGAGGACCAGAGUGCGGGCCUCUCAAAGGCGGGGACUUGGUGGAAGCGGUCCAGUUCUCGCGAGGUUUCGUCCUGACCGGAGCAGGCGACAGCUCCGCGGAGAGAGUGGGUUUCGCUCACAGGAGGGAGCCGAAGGGCCCGGAGUGGUCGUUGCUACCCGGGGUCCGAGCCGGGGGAGAAGCCGUCACCUGUAAAAAGCCAGUUCUCCCUAAAGUCACCCCUGGGGAAGUCCAAGGCAGCGCUGGCCUCUUCCUUCUGCUGUGGGGGCAGCGCAGGCAAACCUUGCCGGCUAAAGAGAACCGCCCUAAGCAAAAACAUAAACACAGGUGUCCGGGCUCCCGGGGAGCUGGAGCUUAAGGUGGAUCUAGUGAAGCAAACCAGCGGCGUCUCUCCCAGGUGGUCAUCCGGUGGCUGCCCCCCAGCAUCACCAAGGAGCAGCUGGAACAGCAGCUGCACCUGCUGCCCGCACACCUUUACCGAGCUCAGGAAUUCAGGAGGCUGAGUCUGAAACCCAGUCUGGAAUAAGCACUUUGCAGAGCCUGUUGUCUAAUUCUAUCUCAGUAGGUUUUAACUUCUGAUGUACUAUUAAAAUAUUCAUAACAGGAGCUACUGACCGUUACAG
ensembl:lncRNA